UACGUAGGGUGCGAGCGUUGUCCGGAAUUAUUGGGCGUAAAGAGCGCGUAGGCGGCCCGAAAAGUCGGAUGUGAAAACCCGGGGCUCAACCCCGGGCCUGCAUCCGAUACUCCCGGGCUGGAGGCAGGUAGGGGAGAUCGGAAUUCCUGGUGUAGCGGUGAAAUGCGCAGAUAUCAGGAGGAACACCGGUGGCGAAGGCGGAUCUCUGGGCCUGUCCUGACGCUGAGGCGCGAAAGCUAGGGGAGCGAACAGG
rnacentral:rRNA from 1 species